GGCGAACGGGUGAGUAACGCGUAGGUGAUCUACCUCCAGGCGGGGGACAACCUAGGGAAACUUGGGCUAAUACCGCAUGUGGCUGUAAAGCUAAAGCCGGCCUCUAUUUAUAAGCUGGUGCCUGGAGAUGAGCCUGCGUCUGAUUAGCUAGUUGGUGGGGUAACGGCCUACCGAGGCGAUGAUAAGUAGGCGGCUUUAACGAGUGGUCGCCCACACUGGGAUUGAGAUACGGCCCAGACUCCUACGGGAGGCAGCAGUCGAGGAUAGUCUACAAUGGUCGAAAGAUUGAUAGUGCGACGCCGCGUGAACGAGGAAGCAUUUCGGUGUGUAAAGUUCUUUUCUAUGGGAGCAGUGGAUUUAAUGUGAAUAAUGUUAAGUCAGAGAUAUUACUAUAGGAAUAAGCCACGGCUAACUCCGUGCCAGCAGCCGCGGUAAUACGGGGGUGGCGAGCGUUGUCCGGAAUUACUAGGCGUAAAGGGCAGGCAGGCGGAUAUGUAAGUUAAUCGUUAAAGACCCGUGCUUACCAUGGGGAGGGCGGUUGAUACUGCGUAUCU
rnacentral:rRNA from 1 species